GAUUCCACCUCUGUACUUGUUCCACAUAUCUCCUCACUCCUCAACUCUUAUGUUCCUCGUGCUCCUUCCUCCCACCUCCCCUCUCAGUCAUUGUACUUCCUUUCUCCUCUAUCCGACAUGUAUAUAAUAUGAAGCUGAUCAUAUACGAAACAUUAAUUCAUAUCCGCAGAUAAUGUAAACUGAUGAAUUUAAGUUGCCAUUCGCCCAUGAAUACACUGCUGCUUCUGACUCAUGAUCAUGCAAUGUAUCAGAAGCCAGUUUGGCAGGAUGAGAUGAGAGCUGACUUCUAGUACAUUGUUUAAAUAAGUCAGUUGACCAGAAAGGGACAAUUUUACAUCUUUAAAGGAUAAGUAAAGCUUUAAAAUAAGUGAAUGUAAAAUUGAUGAUUGUGCUGUUCUACAACAGUGCCGCCUGCUGGGCAGUUUCCCACCAUCUGACCACCAAGUAGUCAAGGAGGUUGCCAGGAGAAAGAAAGAGGCUGCUCUGAUGUUCUUUUGCUUAAGACAAAAUAUAGAAAGAUUUCUCACAAUCCUAAGCAGAUAGGGUUGCCACCCGGCCGGUAUUUUACCGACCUAGCCGAUAAAUGGUUAUGAUUGGUUUGGGAGCUACCAGGGAUUAUGGGAACUUGUAUUUGUACAGGAGGUACAGUUGUAUGGGGACUGGGCCUAAAUGGGGGCCUGACUGUGCUACUCUUUCCGAAUUAGCCGGAAUUGACAGCGCACAAGGUGAACCCGAAGCGCUGAUGUCUCAAAGUCCCGAAAACCAAAGAAGCUGUCAUCGCUGAGGACAAGGAAGAAGAACCUGAGGAAGUGGCAUUAGCCAUGAUGGUGCCAUGAUGGUGGGAGAGCGAGAUCCCUGGAGAGUUACAUCCAAGACAGUUGCCUUGCUUGAUGAAGUAUUAAGUGAGGGUCAGACUGGACCGGUGGGACACUAGGAGAAAACCUGGUGGGCCCUCAUGGGGCCCCGCCGACCCAGACCUGCCUGUCCUGUGCCGUCACGCACCUGAUCCUUCACCUGCCCUCUGCUGUUGCUACCCACCCUUCCUUCCUCAGAUCUCUGUAAAAGAAUAGUGCGCAUGGGGGGGAGGAGCCAGCAGUGGUUGAGUCGGUGGGUGGUGGGGCCCCACAGGAGGUGUAGGGGCCCAAGGUAAGAAGCCCCGAUGGGCCUUACACACUCCAGUCCACACCUGAUUCAUUUUAUCUUUAUUUUCAGGCCUUCUACUAUUCGUUUUCCACUCAUAACUAAUUAUUUGAAGACUAAUUGCAGAUUAGAGAUACUACUCUAUAUGUUAUAUCAAAACGACCAGUACCAUCAAAAAGUGAAAAUAAUUAUUUUCAUGUUACGAUUGUAUCUUGAUGCAGCAUCUACAAAAAAGCUAUUUCAUGUCAACAAAUGCCUUAUUUAAUAUGAGUGGUUUAGAUUGUAUAGUCUUGUAGAUGUAAAUAAGUAAAAAAAAAUGUAUUCACAUACCAUUUGUGUCCUAUGUUUCUGUCCUCAUUAGGACUUUUAUCAAGGAUACCGAACAGUAAUCAAUGUGCAACCUAAAUACACUCUAACAGGUGAACAAUGGUGCCAAAUUUGUGUCAGCUGCAUAUUAAUUAAUGUCCCAAUAACAUUCAUUCAAAUUCUGUGAAAGCCAUAUAAAAGAUUAUAUAGUGCAAACCUUGCCUUUGCCACUAGAUGUCGCUCAUAUGUUAAUAAAAUCACUAUGUGAAA